rnacentral:rRNA from 1 species
GGUUAAGCGACUAAGCGUACACGGUGGAUGCCCUGGCAGUCAGAGGCGAUGAAGGACGUGCUAAUCUGCGAAAAGCGUCGGUAAGGUGAUAUGAACCGUUAUAACCGGCGAUGUCCGAAUGGGGAAACCCAGUGCAAUUCGUUGCACUAUCGUUAACUGAAUACAUAGGUUAACGAGGCGAACCGGGGGAACUGAAACAUCUAAGUACCCCGAGGAAAAGAAAUCAACCGAGAUUCCCCCAGUAGCGGCGAGCGAACGGGGAGCAGCCCAGAGUCUGAAUCAGCU